rnacentral:rRNA from 1 species
UACGUAGGGUGCAAGCGUUGUCCGGAAUUAUUGGGCGUAAAGAGCUCGUAGGCGGUCUGUCGCGUCGGCUGUGAAAUCCCGAGGCUCAACCUCGGGUCUGCAGUCGAUACGGGCAAACUAGAGUAUUGCAGGGGAGACUGGAAUUCCUGGUGUAGCGGUGAAAUGCGCAGAUAUCAGGAGGAGCACCGGUGGCGAAGGCGGGUCUCUGGGCAAUAACUGACGCUGAGGAGCGAAAGCGUGGGGAGCGAACAGG